AGAGUUUGAUCCUGGCUCAGAACGUACGCUGGCGGCACGCCUAACACAUGCAAGUCGAACGAAGUAGCAAUACUUAGUGGCAGACGGGUGAGUAACAUGUGGGUAUCUACCCUUUGGCCUGGAAUAACACGAGGAAACUUGUGCUAAUACCGGAUAAGUCUUUACGGAGAAAGCUUUAUGCACCAUUGGAUGAGCCCGCACUUGAUUAGUUUGUUGGUAGGGUAAUGGCCUACCAAGACUAUGAUCAAUAGCUGAUUUGAGAGGAUGAUCAGCCACAUUGGGACUGAGACACGGCCCAAACUCCUACGGGAGGCAGCAGUGGGGAAUCUUGCACAAUGGAGGAAACUCUGAUGCAGCGAUGCCGCGUGAGUGAAGAAGGCCUUUGGGUUGUAAAGCUCUUUCGUCGGGGAAGAAAAUGACUGUACCCGAAUAAGAAGGUCCGGCUAACUUCGUGCCAGCAGCCGCGGUAAUACGAAGGGACCUAGCGUAGUUCGGAAUUACUGGGCUUAAAGAGUUCGUAGGUGGUUGAAAAAGUUGGUGGUGAAAUCCCAGAGCUUAACUCUGGAACUGCCAUCAAAACUUUUCAGCUAGAGUAUGAUAGAGGAAAGCAGAAUUUCUAGUGUAGAGGUGAAAUUCGUAGAUAUUAGAAAGAAUACCAAUUGCGAAGGCAGCUUUCUGGAUCAUUACUGACACUGAGGAACGAAAGCAUGGGUAGCGAAGAGGAUUAGAUACCCUCGUAGUCCAUGCCGUAAACGAUGUGUGUUAGACGUUGGAAAUUUAUUUUCAGUGUCGCAGGAAACCGAUAAACACACCGCCUGGGGAGUA
rnacentral:rRNA from 1 species